rnacentral:tRNA from 1 species
GGCGCCUUCGUCUAUGGGUUAGGAUUCUGCGCUUUCAAUGCGGGCAAACGGGUUCGAGUCCCGUCGGCGCUAGCA